UAGGGAAUCUUCGGCAAUGGACGAAAGUCUGACCGAGCAACGCCGCGUGAGUGAAGAAGGUUUUCGGAUCGUAAAACUCUGUUGUUAGAGAAGAACAAGUGAUAGAGUAACUGUUAUCACCUUGACGGUAUCUAACCAGAAAGCCACGGCUAACUACGUG
rnacentral:rRNA from 1 species